rnacentral:rRNA from 1 species
UACGUCGGGUGCAAGCGUUGUCCGGAAUUCUUGGGCGUAAAGAGCUCGUAGGCGGUCUGUCGCGUCUGCUGUGAAAACCUAGGGCUUAACUCUGGGCGUGCAGUGGGUACGGGCAGGCUAGAGUGCGGUAGGGGAGACUGGAAUUCCUGGUGUAGCGGUGAAAUGCGCAGAUAUCAGGAGGAACACCGGUGGCGAAGGCGGGUCUCUGGGCCGUAACUGACGCUGAGGAGCGAAAGCGUGGGGAGCAAACAGG